rnacentral:Y_RNA from 1 species
GGCUGGUCCGAUGGUAGUGGGUUAUCAGAACUUAUUAACAUUAGUUGUCACUACAAGUUGGUAUACAACCCCCGACUGCUAAAUUAUGACUGGCUUAAA